rnacentral:rRNA from 1 species
AUGCAUGUCUAAGUACAAGCUGUGUCUGACACGGCGAGACCGCGGACGGCUCAUUAAAUCAGUCGUGGUCCAUAUGGGCCAGUGUUGAUCCUACUUGGACAACUGUGGUAAUUCCAGAGCUAAUACAUGCAACUCUUAUCCUGAAGGAGCGUCAUGCUCUCUGACGGAUGCUUUUAUUAGACCAAACCGCUGGGUGCGUGGUGCUUCACUUCGGUGUUCCCACGUUUGACUCGUGUGAUGGUGACUCUGAAUAACAUUUUUCUUGACAAGCGCAAGUACCCCUCUUAUGAGUUGGGACGGCGCUACCACUUUCGAGUGUCUGACUUAUCAGCUAUCAACCGUUCGUUAUGUGCGACCGAUGGCUUUGACGGGUAACGGGGAAUCAGAGUUCGAUUCCGGAGAGGCAGCCUGAGAGACGGCUACCACGUCCAAGGACGGCAGCAGGCACGCAAAUUACCCAAUCCCAGCACCUGGGGGAGGUAGUGACGAAAUCUAACGAUGCGGGCGCCCUUUCUGGGGCCCCGCAAUCGGAAUGGCCACUUUCUAAAAAACCUGUUGAGAACCUACUGAAGGGCAAGUCUGGUGCCAGCAGCCGCGGUAAUUCCAGCUUCAGUAGCAUCUAUUAAAGUUGCUGCGGUUAAAAGGCUCGCAGUUGAAUGUCAGUACCGAGCGCAGGUCAGGUGGACGCUGGGGCGUGGGAAUACAAGGCGUGCGUUUCGUGUUUCUUUCUCUCGCGCGUGCGCUUCACAUAUUGAGUGCGUGUUCGCGCGUACGAGAUUGUGUAGUCG